UACGUAGGGCGCAAGCGUUAUCCGGAAUUAUUGGGCGUAAAGGGCGCGUAGGCGGCUUGGCAAGUGGAAGGUGAAAUCCCUCGGCUCAACUGAGGAACUGCCCUCCAAACUGCUUUGCUUGAGGCCGGGAGAGGUAAGUGGAAUUCCCAGUGUAGCGGUGAAAUGCGUAGAUAUUGGGAGGAACACCAGUGGCGAAGGCGGCUUACUGGACCGGUUCUGACGCUGAGGCGCGAAAGCGUGGGGAGCAAACGGG
rnacentral:rRNA from 1 species